UCCCUGGAGAGCUAGUGGUUAGGCCAUGGCACUCUCACCUCCUUAGCCCGGGUUCGAUUCCCAGCCAGGGAA
rnacentral:tRNA from 1 species